ACAGUUGCUGUGCUGCGGUUACCGGGAAAAUGUCGACUUGCUUUAGGCUCGAUGCAGAGAGCAACUGGUGGAGCCUCAUAUAUUUGGUGCCAUAAUUGCUGGCAGAUGCAGGCUUUUGUCCAGUGGUGACCAGUAUACAUCAUUUCCCUGUGUGUGUUUUAUUUCCGGAAUGACAACCGUCACGAUUCCAGACGCAACAGAAAACAAGCUUCAAUGGAUGCUGUGACAUCAGGAUCAUGUCACUAUGCAGGUUCUGAUCUUGGGUGAGCUGGAGGAUGUCCAGGGAAGCCCCGAGUAAUCUCAGCAACACUGGAUGAACUUCAGUAUAACAGAGAGCACGGAUGCAAGCCUGGAAGGACGUUUGGCAGAUGCAGCAUAAGUGAAAGGGAGCCUCCCUUUGAAGCGCUGCAUCACGCGCGGCGAAGCGCUCGGCAGUCUGGUGUGUCAGGAGAGAGGGCAGAGCUCACUCUCAUUAGCUCACAAGCACCCAGCUCGGGUCCAUCUCAACAAUUAUUUCACAAUGGCCACGAACAAGCACUGGCGUCAUCACACCCCUAGUCUCAUUACAGAUUAUUUCCUUAGUAACGCAAGGCUCUGAUGUCUCUCGUUAGAUUCUUAUUUGGCUCCCAUCGCCAUAGCAACGCGUGCCCCGAAGCCAUUCAUAUUUUUAUGAUCGCAACGCCCGGUGAAGUCUAAGAAGCAGCUCUACCCUGCACUUUGUGGUGGGGAACUGAGGCACAGAGAGGCUUAUGUCAGAGGAAAGCAAGGUUGGAAGUAACUUUAUGAGGUCAUCCAGUUCAGCCCCUGCCCAAGGCAGAAUCAUCCUUGAUUGAACUAUCCCAGCCAAGUGUCUGCCUAACCUUCCCUUGACAAGGUCCCGGGAUGGAGAUUUCACAACUUCUCUCAGCAGCCCGUUCCAACGCUUGACCACCAUCAGAGUCCAAAAGUUCCUCCUAAGCGCCAGUCUAAAUUUUCCCUGCUGAAGCUUGGGGUAUUGCUCCUAGCCCCGUCCCCUACAGCCACAGACAAAACCCCAUCUCCAUCCCCUCCGUAAUUGCCCUACAGGUAUUUGGUGACUGUUUGCGUUAAUGAUGGCGAAUAGGAAAUCUCCACUUGCGCUUUGCCCCGUGUGCCUGGCCACGCUGCUACGUUUCUGGAAUCACUUGUCUUGCUUUGCAAGUGGCUCUCCCGCUGAUAUCACCCAGUACGCCAUUGGCCUUUUCUGCAACCAGAGCAAACUUGGCUCAUCCUCAGUUUAUGUACCUGUAACCCCCAUGUCCUUCUCUGCAGUACUGCAGCCUAGGCAGUCAUUCCCAGCCUGUAUUUGUGCACCCGGCUAUUUCAUAUCAAGUGCAGGACUUACACUUGUCCUUGCUGAAUCUCAUCUGAUUGAUCGUGGACCAUUUCUCCAGUCUGUCCAGGUCCUUCUGGAUCCUCGCCUUGCCCUCCAGAGCAUCUGCAACUCCACCCAACUUGCUGUCAUCUGCAAAUUUGCUAAGUGUGCAUUUGAUCCCAUCAUCCAAAUCAUUGAAGUCACACAGGAAGCCUGUGACAGAGUCAAAGGUUGAAUCCAGCUGACCUGAAUCUUAGCUGAUCUUUCUUUUCCCCUCAUUUCACAGAGACACAAAAACGAGGGAUACUAAAUUGGUCAAGCCCCCAGUCCUGUCUUACCUCUUUGACAUUAUGGUGCUGUCACUUUAAAGAAUGAGAUGCUCAGCUGUUGUAAAGAACAAACUCCCACGUGGGGAUGGAUAAGCAACUUUCCAUAAAUCUAGUCUAAUCUACCUGUAUGGAUAUUUUUAUGAGCCUAUAUUUUUAAUAGGCUCAUCAUUGCAGUAAAAGUCAGCUCCAUGUUAUCCUUUCCCUGAUCAACAGUCGCAUUUAAUGUUGCUCAUAUGGUCAGUGGGUGAGAGGAGGCAGCAUUAAAGCAAGUCAGAAAAAAAUCAGCUCCAUUUCUCUUAGCUCUGUCAAAAUCAGACUAUUAAACCGAAAUCUGGUUUGAGAGCGCAAAAAAGGGUGUUGGGGGAGAGAAGUCCUACUCUUCUUCAACUAUUCUGUUUUCUGACAUUGUUUUUUGGGGGGAAUGAAAAAUUUUGAUUUUUUUAUUUCAAGAAAACUUUUGGGGUUGGGAUUUUGAAAACCAUGUUGUACCACACACUAUAACUUGGCACAGUUAUUUUUUAAAUCCAUAAACACCUUUCAGUUGUUUCAAAAUAAUUCAUUCCUGUCCCCCCUCUACGAAUUUAGGGACUUCAAUAGUAAGGAAAACAUGUUCCCCUCGGCAGGAAUUUCAGACCACACCUACCUCUAACAACCACCUCCGAGGGUUUUUGCUCUCUUUUAUAGGAACAGCGCUGCGACUCCUGUCAGUUCAGGUUUGAUCACAAAAUACCCGUCAUGGGCUGAUGCACAGCUCCUCCAGGUAUUCCAGCCACUGGCUGCCUAGCACAAAGCAUUUGUAAAACCGAAGGGCUUUACUCUGAUCCCACACCAGUUUUUCGUCUCCCUGACUCCAUAAGAAAUUCUCCUGAUUUACACUUCACAGUGGUGCAUUAUCCACAGGUAAACUGCACUGCAGUUAGCAUCACUUGGGUACCGACAAGAGCAUUUCCUUGAAAUGCUUCUGAGUACACAGAAACAGAUGUUCUUUGCUACAAAAAAUGCAGACUUGGCGCUCCAGCCCAACAGAAAUCUGGGCAUGUUAAACACCUGGCAAGCAGGCGAGAAUGAGAGUCACAUUUCUUUCAUCCCUGGGUUAGUGACUUGGUUCUUCAACUCAGUUUGGAGAGACUGAAGCUUAAAGCUUUUGAGGGCCCCAGUACUAGCUGCCUUAGUACCUACAUGCCAACUGCCUCCUUACACUAACCUCCUCCCUGCCACCAAUGGAUCAGCAGGCUGCGAGAAUCACAAGUUCAAAAAAAAGCCAUCAAUAUGCUGCGACUACUACUCAUACUUCAGCUAUGUGCUGGACCAGAUGCUCGGUCAGUAGAUCUCUGCACAGCUCCUGCUUUGGGAAUCAGCCCCGUUACAUUCACCUGAUUCUCACACACACACACACACACACACACACACACACACAAUUAGACCAUAACUGGGUACAUAAUACUGCUUUACAGUAGGGCCGGAUCCUCAGCUCGUGACAUCAAUGGAGAUACUGCACGCAUUGACACUAGCCAGGACUGUCGGCAAGCAAUGGCAACUGAUGAGAGUUGGUUUGUGUUGUAACCGCUUUAUCUCAGUCUCCUUAACUUUUGGAGAUAAUCACUGUAAAGCAGACAGUGUCAGCUCUUUAUUUACUUGUGUUAAUUAGUCCAGCAGCCUGUAGGUGCUUUGCAAAGAGUGGAACUGCAGUGCAAUCUAGGCAGAACCAUGCACAAGACUGAAACAGAAAUUAGAGGCUGGAAAGACCCGCACGUAGGAUUAUUAACUACAAUAUCUUUCCCAGCCAUUUGUCUGGUCUAAUGCUAACUAUCUCAGAGCAUGAGGCUUCCCCAGUCUAACUGAUCUCACUUUGAAGCUGCUCAUCUAGGUAUACCUCUUAGUAUCAGGGUAGCUGAAUAAUUCCUCAUCUUCUGGGGGGGUUUACACCCUUGAAACAUCGCUACCUUGGAAUCACAUUGGUGCAACUGAGAGCAGCAUUUCAUCUUAAAUCUUUCCCUCAAAGUCAAUCUCUUCAUCCUUUCUAUGAAUUGACUUCGGUUUCCUCGGAUCUGUCUGCUAACGAGGCAGUAGGCAGGUGGCAUUUCCACUCUGCUCUGAGCACGGUGCCCACAGCCGGGAUCUGGUCCAAACUCACCCCUUCCCUGAGGGUUCCCUUUAUUUUUAACUUAAUUAACAGCAGCCUGGAGAGAGGAGCCUAAGCUCUCUGUGGAGGUUAGUUUUUCCCUCUCUUCCUAGCCCUGAUUUCCUCUGCCCUGAGAAAGGGGCACUCAAAUGCUUGGGCGGGAAAGUUCAGGAAUACAAAGGUCAAACCAAAGUCAUCUUUGCCCAACCCUUUCCACUUUUGACAUUGGUGCAACUUGCACCCCAAAGUCCAGACAAGAGAAGUCUACUAGGAAACGCUAGCAGUUGGGUGUACAACAUUGUAACUUUAAGUAAGCCACCCGUUUGUGUACAUGCCAGGGGCAUGGGGGAGUGUAGGAUUAUACCAGCAAAGGGACAGUGAGGUGCCUUCUUCACAUACUUGCUACUUUACCCAUUGCCUUCUUCACCCACUUGUCACUUUACCCAUUGCCUUCUUCACCCACUUGUCACUUUACCCAUCUCCUUCACUGUCUAAUUCCCCAACCCAGGGGCAGCUGAUUCUCCUCACACUUUCUUUAGUAUAAAUGUAUAUAUCUAUACAAGAUGUUUGCUGCCUAAUGAGCUCCAAAACCUCUUUGUGUCUACACAUGUGCUCCCUAUUAGGGCGCACAAAACUAAGAAACUGCAGCAUAGGCUAGUACUGGUAUUUACUGCAAAGCAAGUUAGUAUUUGUAUUUACAAGUACUAGCCUGCUCCAGAGGUUUUUUUUUGUGUGCAGCAGUGCAUGUGUAAAUGCUGCCCGGCUGGCUGGGGCAUGAAGGUGCUUUAGUGCGGGGACUGCUUUCUGGCUAGCCCCGUGCUGAAGCACCCUCAUGUCCCAGCCAGCCCCUUCAGUCCUGACCUUUGAGCCUAGUCAGAACAGCUCUGGGCUGCUGCCAGCCAGGCUACACGUGCUGUGCAUGAGUAAACUCCAGAGCAAUAUACUCCAGAGAUUUUUGCUCUCAGGAGUACAUUUAAAAGGCAUACUCGGGAGAAAAAACCCCGAAACACUAAGCUACGGCGUUUAUUCAUGUGCAUUAAAUCUGUAAGGGGUGAAUAUUGGGAGCUGGGAGAAAAACUGUUCACUAGGGCACCCCAGGGGAGGACCAGGAGCAAUGGCCAUAAACUGCUAGAGGACGGUUUCAGGUUGGAUGCAAGGCAGAACUUCUUUAUGGUAAGGGUGACCAGAACCUGGCACAGACUUCCCAAGGAAGUGGCGCCGUCCCCAACCUUGGAAGUCUUCAAGAGGAGACUGGACAGACAACUUGCUGGGAUCAUUUGAUCUCAGCAGUUUUGCUGCCCAGAGCAGGAGGGUUGGACUCCAUGAUUUUUCAAGGUCUCUUCCAGCCCUACAUUUCUAUGAUUCUAUGAUUAAUUGCACGUGUAGACGUGCCCAAUUAGGAGCAAGUCCACUGAAGUCACUGGAGUGAAGAUGGUGUAAAAGCAGCAGAAAGAACCAAGGAAUUCAACCUGCACUGCAAAAUCAUAAUAAAGACACACACACACACACACACACAAAAUCUCUCAAAAGAAAUUAGCUUUUUCUUUGUUUGAUGGGGUCCCUAGAGAGACUCUCUUCAGCGAGACUUGGCUGGAGAGAUACCAAAUUGUCAUGGCAAAGCCCUGAGAUCUGGCAGUAUAACAGAAAAAAAAUAUAUAAGAGGAGGCUCUUUUCAGCAACAACAAAGUGUGAAGGCUUGUCCAGUGACAAAACUUCAAUGCCCUGCGUGAGGAAAUCCUUUGUUAUGCGCUAUUCAAGUUGUACUUUCCCCAUGGGAGAGAAGGGCACACCCUCCACAAAUAGCAUUGUGCCCACUCUGAAUAGCUGGCCUUUAGAGUUUCUCAUUGUGGCAGUCUUCUUGAGUUAAGCUGUGUUUACCCAGCUGCAUGAACAUCUCAUGGACAGGUAUUCAGUGUAGAUCAGAGGCAGCGCCAGAGACAAAGAUGCUGGGUCUGUGACCAAAAUUACACUGGAUAUGCUUUUUUUUUUAAAAAAAGAGAAAAAUCAGUAACUUCAGUGGAAGAAGGGCAUUCAGGAAGCAUACUACAGCUGGAGUUGGAGCCCCUAGUAGUUGUCCAGAGGGAUAGCUCUACUGGAGUCAAGGGCAUCAUGCUGAUGUAUACCCAUUGCGGGGAGCUCUGCAAGUUGAAUGGGAAUGUCUGAAGCACUGGUCAGGUGUUUGGUAGCAAAGGGAACCUGUUCACUAUUCCUACUUAAGUACAAAUUAAAUAUGGCUUUAUACUGAAACUAGGAACGCAGAUGUUUGCUGCAUUGUGUCAUAGAGGAGGAAGGUAAGGAAAGCUGCGGGAGGCUGUAAUCUAGUAAUCGGAGAACAGGCUGGGACUCAGGAGAUCGGAGUUUGAUUCCCAAUUUUGCGAUUGGAGCUGCUGUGUGGCCCUGCUCAAAUCGCUUUACUUUUUUGUGCUACUUCACUACCCAGCUUUGGUCAGUCGUGUCCAUUUAUAUGCAAAGCUUAUGCAGGCAAGGGUUGCCUCCUACCUUGCGUCAGUAAAGACCAUCCCGCUGGAACAUUUUUCUAGCUAAGAGAAAACUUGUUAUAUAUUAGGGAUACUUAUAGCUGGCAUAACUAAAACCAGGAGGUUGCUGGUUAGGGGAUUUUGCCCCUCCACUCAGGGUCAGAGAAAUCAACACAUUUAGGAUCAGGAAGGAAUUUUACCCCAUGAUCAAACUGGUACAAACUGUGGUGUUUUGUGCCUCCCUCUGUAGCAGGGGGCAUGGCACUCUUUCUUGCAUCUGUUGAGUCUAUUUUAACAGCCCUUGCAAAAGUGGGAUAUUGGCAGCCUUCAUGUCCCUGCUUUACCUGUGACAGAUCAGGGUGCUUUUUGUGCCUUUGUGCAACAUGCCUUGUGGCUGUGCAAAAGGGUUGCUUGUGUAGUUUUACAAAAAGAUUACAUGAGGACUUGAAUGGGAUGGUUUGGAUAGAGAUGACGGGGUUGGACUUGAUGGGGUCCCCUCUCAGCCCUACUUUUCUAUGAGUCUAUACAGCAAUCCAGAUCUCUGUUGUGACCUCUACAUACACCGAGGUCUCACCAUGAUGUCAGCCAGUAGGAUGCUGCUCAGUCAUUUCUGCUGACUCUCCCACACAACCAAACUAGGGAUCUUCUCAGCUCCAGCACAAGGGCUUGCCAUAGUGGCAUAUAGGAACCCAAUUCAAAGGACAUAAUCACCCCCACAGCCUCAGCUGUCCAAACUCUGAAGUGUUGUAUGCAAAUCUGUGUGCCAGAAUAGGCAUAAUUUACAUCUCCUUUCAAUUCAUCGCUUAGUUUAAAUACUUCAUUUCCUCUCACUUUUGCCCCAGUGAACGGGGUAAGAAUCCCAUCUGAAUCUCACAUGCCCAUGCAAGAUUCCCAUGGGGAAAGUCAAUCUUUUAUAUAGUAACCAUUCUGACUUAAAAUGAGAGAGAAGAGUAAUAAUAAUAAAGGACAAAAGAUACACACAUAGCUUCCAGGGCUUAUGAAAAAAAAAAGCAGUUUAGUCUUCAAUAGGCAAUUCUUUGGAAAGAAAUUAGUGGAAAAGGUUACAAGUCUUCACUUGAACAGAGCCCCAUCAGAAUGCACUUUGACAUCAUUAGUACAAAUGGAAUAUGCCCAUGGCAUUUCUUUUCAUUUCAGAUGCCCUUGGAGGCUAUAUUACUCAUUGGACCUUGUAUUUUCCCCCUUUUCUUUCUGCAUAAUGCACUGAGAAAUUCCAAAGCAUAUGACUCAAGGGCUGGUUUGCAUAGAAUACAACCUGCACGCUCUGUGUAAUAAUAAAAUAAAUGUUGCAGAAACCCA